AGAGUUUGAUCAUGGCUCAGAGCGAACGCUGGCGGCAGGCUUAACACAUGCAAGUCGAACGGGCGUAGCAAUACGUCAGUGGCAGACGGGUGAGUAACACGUGGGAACGUACCCUUUGGUUCGGAACAACACAGGGAAACUUGUGCUAAUACCGGAUAAGCCCUUACGGGGGAAGAUUUAUCGCCGAAGGAUCGGCCCGCGUCUGAUUAGCUUGUUGGUGAGGUAAUGGCUCACCAAGGCGACGAUCAGUAGCUGGUCUGAGAGGAUGAUCAGCCACACUGGGACUGAGACACGGCCCAGACUCCUACGGGAGGCAGCAGUGGGGAAUAUUGGACAAUGGGCGCAAGCCUGAUCCAGCCAUGCCGCGUGAGUGAUGAAGGCCCUAGGGUUGUAAAGCUCUUUUGGCGGGGAAGAUAAUGACGGUACCCGCAGAAUAAGCCCCGGCUAACUUCGUG
rnacentral:rRNA from 1 species